rnacentral:rRNA from 1 species
GAUGAACGCUGGCGGCGUGCCUAAUACAUGCAAGUCGAGCGAACGGACGAGAAGCUUGCUUCUCUGAUGUUAGCGGCGGACGGGUGAGUAACACGUGGAUAACCUACCUAUAAGACUGGGAUAACUUCGGGAAACCGGAGCUAAUACCGGAUAAUAUUUUGAACCGCAUGGUUCAAAAGUGAAGGACGGUCUUGCUGUCACUUAUAGAUGGAUCCGCGCUGCAUUAGCUAGUUGGUAAGGUAACGGCUUACCAAGGCAACGAUGCGUAGCCGACCUGAGAGGGUGAUCGGCCACACUGGAACUGAGACACGGUCCAGACUCCUACGGGAGGCAGCAGUAGGGAAUCUUCCGCAAUGGGCGAAAGCCUGACGGAGCAACGCCGCGUGAGUGAUGAAGGUCUUCGGAUCGUAAAACUCUGUUAUUAGGGAAGAACAUAUGUGUAAGUAACUGUGCACAUCUUGACGGUACCUAAUCAGAAAGCCACGGCUAACUACGUG